rnacentral:misc_RNA from 1 species
GAUGAAGAACGUAGCGAAAUGCGAUAAGUAAUGUGAAUUGCAGAAUUCAGUGAAUCAUCGAAUCUUUGAACGCACAUUGCGCCCUCUGGAAUUCCGGGGGGCAUGCCUGUUCGAGCGUCUCAGGGACGAACCCUCGCGCGGGUGUACGCGCGGUCGUGGCUGCGGUGGCGUGCCCGAGGCGGCGGCCACCGCGCUGGAAUCCAUGGGCGGACGCCUGCCGCGUGGCCGAGCGUGAUAUGACGCAUUGGCGCUCGCACGCGGAGAGGCUGCCAGCCCUGGCCCGUCUGUCGGGCGGGGGAGAGCAAGACACGUGAACUCCUCGAAUCAGGUAGGGAUACCGGCUGAACUUAAGCAUAUCAAUAAGCGGAGGA